rnacentral:lncRNA from 1 species
UUAUCUAUCACUUUUCAGGUUUGGUCUUUCCUGCCUACUUCUUUCUUUUUCGAUCCCUUCUUUUUAUUUUUUCUUUUUUUGAGGUUUUUUUUCUAUGUUUUUGUUGUUGGGUUCUUUUCUAGAAAUAGGGUACCACAAAAGAGACUAACAGGCAAAAAAAGGUGCCAAAUUAUCUAGAAAUAGUACAAUACGCCACUUAAAUAUUCAGCUGGAUAAUAGAUAGCUAAGAACUAAAUAUGUAAAACAAAAUUACAUCUCUUCAAAUCAUUCCAA